UGCCUAUUAGCUAGCCCCGCCAACUAAACUCAACAAACAAACAUAAAUAGACCCAAAAACACUUCAAACUCAAUAAACAAAGCAUUUUCCCCCCUAAGUAUGGGAGACAGAAAAG
rnacentral:rRNA from 1 species